ensembl:lncRNA
GGAGAGCAUGAAUCAGAAGCACUACUGGUCCUUGAAAAAGAUACGCCUCGAGAAAGAACAUCAAGUACUGGCCCAACAGAACCGUGAAGGGGACUGCCACUGAUUGCCUUUAUUGUUUUGACAUCCUAUAUUGCGGCGGGUGUUGCGUAUCUUUUUCAAGGACCAGUAGCGCUUCUGAUUCAUGCUCUCCAGUCCCCAGAAGUUCAGCAGUGCGUCACAGGGUGUCAUGAUGUUUCCUCAUAAGCGUGUUUGAGUGAUGUUGCUCCUGCUGGCCAUCCUGU